rnacentral:rRNA from 1 species
UAGGGAAUCUUCCGCAAUGGACGCAAGCCUGACGGAGCAAUGCCGCGUGAGUGAAGAAGGAUUUCGGUUUGUAAAACUCUGUUGUUAGAGAAGAACAGCGCAUAGAGUAACUGUUAUGCGUGUGCCGGUAUCUAACCAGCAAGCCACGGCUAACUACGUGCCAGCAGCCGCGUUAAUACGUAGGUGGCAAGCGUUGUCCGGAUUUAUUGGGCGUAAAGCGAGCGCAGGCGGUCAAUUAAGUCUGAUGUGAAAGCCCCCGGCUCAACCGGGGAGGGUCAUUGGAAACUGGUUGGCUUGAGUGCAGAAGAGGAGGGUGGAAUUCCAUGUGUAGCGGUGAAAUGCGUAGAUAUAUGGAGGAACACCAGUGGCGAAGGCGACUCUCUGGUCUGUAACUGACGCUGAGGCUCGAAAGCGUGGGUAGCAAACAGG